ACAGAGCUGGGACCACGCUGCCGACCCGGCGGGCGCUGAAGAACGCGCGCUUGGUGAGCACCAAGGACGACGUGCACCUGUGCGUCAUGUGCCUGCGCGCCAUCAUGAACUACCAGGUAGGGGACGGCGCCGUGUCACCGUCACCACACCGGGUACGGGGACGUCACGGUGCCAUUGUCACCGCACCGGGUACGGGGAGGUCACUGCGUCACCGUGGCUGCACUGGGCAUGGGGACAGCGCUGGGCCACUGUCACCAUAGUGGGGUACAGGGAUGGCACUGUGUCAUUGUCACCAUACCGGGUGCAGGGGUGGCACUGUGUCACCAGCGCUGUGUUGGGUAUGGGGACAUCACGGUGCCAGGUGUGGGGACCUCACGGUGCCACCGUCACCAUAGUGGGUGCAGGGAUGGCACUGUGUCAUUGUCACUGCACUGGGCAUGGGGACAUCCCUGUGCCAGGUGUGGGGACAUCACAGUGGCACUGUCACCAUGCUGGGUCCAGGCCCAUGACUGUGUCACCAUCACUGCGUUGGGCAUGGGGACAGUACUGUGUCACCGUCACCAUACCGGGUGCAGGGGUGGCACUGUGUCACUGUGCCAGGUGUGGGGACAUCGCAGUGUCACCGUCACCAUAGCGGGUGCAGGGAUGUCACUGUGUCACCAGCGCUGUGUUGGGUAUGGGGACAUCGCUGUGUCACUGUCACCAUAUGGGGUACAGGGAUGUCACUGUGACAGUGUCACCGUACGGGGAUGGCACUGUGUCACUGUGCCAGGUCUGGGGACAGCGCUGUCACCGUCACCGCUCCGGGUGUCACUGUGCCACCGCCGCUAUAUUGGGCGCAGGGAGGGGUGGCACCGUGCCACCGUCCCCUGUGCUGGGUAUGGGGACAUCGUGGUGUCAGUGUCACCGUACCAGGUGCAGGGGUGUCACUGUGUCACCGCGCCGGGUACGGGGACAGCGCUGCGUCACUGUCACCGUGCUUUGGGUCCAGGGACAUGGCAGUGUCACCAGCGCUGUGCUGGGUAUGGGGACGUCACGGGGUCAGUGUCACCAUAGCAGGGACAGGGAGGUCACCGUGCCACUGUCAC
rnacentral:lncRNA from 1 species